UAAGUCCCUCCCAUUGUAGAUCUGCCACUCUUUGGUGUAAGAUGUAAGGCACAGCAAAUAAGACUGCAAAGGAAUAUUUCUUAUCCAACAUUGCCCAGUACACAGGUCAGAAAAAUGGCCUCCAUCAGGCUGAAAAGUAAAACCAAGCACCUGUAGAUCAGGUGGGCAGUGGAAUUUUCUGGAGACUACCUGGCAUGUGAUA